GACGAACGCUGGCGGCGUGCCUAAUACAUGCAAGUCGAACGCAGUGGGGACGGGUGCGUAACACGUGGGUAACCUCCCAUCAGAGGGGAUAACACUUGGAAACAGGUGCUAAACCGCUACUGAUGGAUGGACCCGCGGGGGAUUAGCUAGUUGGUGAGGUAACGGCUCACCAAGGCGACGAUGCAUAGCCGACCUGAGAGGGUGAUCGGCCACACUGGGACUGAGACACGGCCCAGACUCCUACGGGAGGCAGCAGUAGGGAAUCGUGGGCAAUGGACGAAAGUCUGACGGAGCAACGCCGCGUGAGUGAAGAAGGCUUUCGGAUCGUAAAGCUCUGUUGGUAGAGAAGCGGUAUAUAAAGAGAAAGCCACGGCUAACUACGUGCCAGCAGCCGCGGUAAUAC
rnacentral:rRNA from 1 species